AGUAAGGUGGCUGAUAUAAUAGGUGAUAAAUUGUAAAUUUAUUUAAAGGUUAAUACCUUCUUACUAU
rnacentral:tRNA from 1 species